UUUUGUAGAAUUUUCCUCCCAUGUCUCUUGUGAUGUGCUAGGAACUUCUCCCCAGAUCUUUAAAUUUGAUCAAAGAAUAAAAGUGAGCCUUUGGGGCA